rnacentral:rRNA from 1 species
UUCGGUUGAUCCUGCCGGACCUGUCUGCUAUCGGAUUGGUACUAAGCCAUGCGAGUCGUUGUACAAUACAAGGCGGACUGCUCAGUAACACAUAAUUAACUUAACCUAUGCGAUGGGAAUAACCUCGGGAAACUGAGAAUAAUACCCAAUGGGCCACAGUGCCUGGAAUGGCCUGUGGUUGAAAUGAUUUAUCGCCGUAGGAUAGGACUGCGGCCUAUCAGCUUGUUGGUGAGGUAAUGGACCGCCAAGCUAUAACAGGUACGGGCUCUGAGAGGAGGGGCCCGGAGAUGGUACUGGGACCUGACCCAGGGCCCAUGGCCCUAUGGGGCGCAGCAGGCGAGAAACCUUUGCAAUGUGCGAAAGCACGACAAGGUUAAUCCGAGUGUCUCCUGCUAAAGGAGUCUUUUGUCAGUUGUAGAAUCACUGGUGAAUAAGGGGUGGGCAAGUUCUGGUGUCAGCCGACGCGGUAAAACCAGCACCUCGAGUGGUCGGGACGGCUUCAAUGGGCCUAAAGCAUCCGUAGCCGGUUGCAUAAGUUUUCCGGUUAAUCUAUGCGCU